AAAUUACCAGUCCACUAUCAUGCUGCCCUUUAACAUUUCUUAAUCCAAAACUCAACUUCUCAUCGCCGCUUGCGAUCUUUUGCAGCAACUAAUUAUUUUCAAGGAAAGAAGGUGACGCUGUUUUGUUCUAAUAAUUUCUUUCUUGUUUACCACCUUUGUUUUCUUAAUUUUUUUUUACCGAAAUAAAAAAUGGCUUUGAUGGAAACAUUUUAUCUCUCACAUGGAGCUCCAACACUUGCUAUUGAAGAAACCGCACCAACAAGACAAUUCUUUAAAUCAUGGCAACCAAGUGUGUACAAAGAGAAACCGAGUUCCAUUCUUGUUAUUUCUGCUCACUGGGAGACCGAACCUACUGUUAAUGUUGUUGAUCGAAAUGAUACCAUUCAUGACUUCUAUGGCUUCCCCAAGCCCUUGUACCAGGCUACACCUCUAUGCUGAGAAAUAAUGUUCGUUCACGUGCCUUGGGAUCUGAAUUGGUUGCGGUUACCGUGCUGAGCGUUGCUGCAUCAUGAAGAAAGGAGCUGGAACCAUUGAUCUUGAGCCCUGUCUUACACAUACAUCAGCAGUGGAACCUGCUCUUGCUCCCGUGGCUGUUGAAGAGACAAAAUGAUAACCUGUGCUGCAGCUUCGAAUGCUUUGUGGCAACAGAGAUUUGUACUCGUAGUUACAAUACAGUGCAACCUUUGCAACGAGCCCUGGAUAAAAUACAGCAUUAGUAUUGUUGCUGACAAGGGUCUGAAAAAGCCUCUCUAUACUUCUGCACGUUUGAAAAAGGGAGAAGUUCUAUAUGUAGAAACACAUUCAUGCAGAUACGAGCUCUGUUUUACAGGAGAGAAAAUGGGAAAGUGACACAGGCUUCUCACUCAGGUGCAUGAAGAGACAGAUAAGUUCCACAGUCACCACCCACAUUCCUCAAACGGUGAGAAGCAGGACUGUGAUAAUGUUCUUUUUGAUGUAUUCCGGUGGUCACGCUGUAAGAAACCACAACCACAGAAGGUCAUGCAGUCAGUUGGGAUCCCAUUGGAACAUGUUGAGGUGUUGGGAGGAGAAUCUUGACUGGGAGGAUGUGCAAUGGUCAUAAACUGGUGUUUGGAUUGCUGGAAAAGAACACGCACUUGCUAGGUUUAUAAAAAAUCGACUGGACUACUCUAUCCGUACCAGAGUAUUUGAGCAACCAAAACAGAAGCACUGGAACUUUGAAUAUUGGGAAAUCUGGCAUUUCUUCCAUGUAUAUAAAUCCAUUACAAGCAAUCUAAUGACAAAAAGGAAAGCAUCUUUCUGCAAUUUCUAUUUCGAUUGAACACCAUAAUCUCUUGGCAGCAGGAUGGAUGAAAAAUAAAUCAUCUGUAUCCAUGUUCUCCUGCCUACUUGGAACACCAUUAAAAAACUAGCAAGAAUAAUGAAAUUCAACACAAGCUGAUGAUCCCAGUUCUUUGCCAAAAGCAAAUAGUAACAGCAAAGUCAGGGUCGGUUAAACCAACUAGCUAGAAUUCGUGUGUUGAAAUACAAAAAACUAUCAGGGAAACGAGAGAUCACGGAGACUAAAUCUUGAUUAGAACAUUCCAACCCU